rnacentral:rRNA from 1 species
GGUUAGCCUCUUUUUCUAGGUCUAUACCCGAACCCAUACCGAACUCGAGCGUCCUUAUCUAGAAAGCCACACAUACUAAUCUUUAUUGGGAACCAUGGCUAAAAAAAAAACUUAAAAUCUUUGUAAAAAACUUUUCGUGUGCG